GACGAACGCUGGCGGCGUGCCUAAUACAUGCGAGUUGAGCGCUGAAGGUUGGUACUUGUACCAACUGGAUGAGCAGCGAACGGGUGAGUAACGCGUGGGGAAUCUGCCUUUGAGCGGGGGACAACAUUUGGAAACGAAUGCUAAUACCGCAUAAAAACUUUAAACACAAGUUUUAAGUUUGAAAGAUGCAAUUGCAUCACUCAAAGAUGAUCCCGCGUUGUAUUAGCUAGUUGGUGAGGUAAAGGCUCACCAAGGCGAUGAUACAUAGCCGACCUGAGAGGGUGAUCGGCCACAUUGGGACUGAGACACGGCCCAAACUCCUACGGGAGGCAGCAGUAGGGAAUCUUCGGCAAUGGACGAAAGUCUGACCGAGCAACGCCGCGUGAGUGAAGAAGGUUUUCGGAUCGUAAAACUCUGUUGGUAGAGAAGAACGUUGGUGAGAGUGGAAAGCUCAUCAAGUGACGGUAACUACCCAGAAAGGGACGGCUAACUACGCG
rnacentral:rRNA from 1 species